GCCCGGUUGGCUCAGUCGGUAGAGCGUGUGACUCUUAGUUGCUAUUGUUGCAAUGGGAAUCUCAAGGUCGCGAGUUCGAGCCUCGCAUCGGGCU